UCUUUUUCAGAUUCAGAUAGUUUCUCGAUUCUGAGUAGCACUGUUUGCCGUUAUUUCACCUCACUAAGCGAUUUGCGCCCAUGCCCGAGAAUGCUAAAGGUAAUUCCGAAAUCCCGGCGAGAAUGCCAGGACUUGGCUCAUUUGUCAAGUUGGCUUAGCCAGACUUAGCCGAUUUGCUGGGCGCGGGCGGUGGCAGGAAUCGGAAUACGGAAUACGGAGUACGGAAUACUGCAUACGGAGUACACGGAAUCAUUAGUCCCGGUGCCGUGUCACCUGUUGUGUGGUCCGCGGGCGCCUACGCCCCAGUCGGGGCUGAGUUCGAACGGAUCAGGAAACGUUAUCGCCGGGCACGAAUGGAAACAGAUGUGCCGCCGGAAUCAAUUUCCCACCGUGGAACCACCGUCAAAGCCCUGAGAUUGCGCAAAACCAAGAGCCACCAUCCGAUCCGUUCAAACUAAAUUUAUUGCAGAUCAAAUGACGCCUCAGAAACGAUUCGCCGGCCACACGAUACCCUCGAUAUAGUCUAGGAAUGAGGAGACGCGUGUGUAGAGACCCGGGGUCUUGGUGGCGCAGCCGAAGCCCGAGGAGAUUACGCCCACGAUCGAGUAGAUGCCGUCGACGUCGUCGAUCUCCAGGAUGAGCGGGCCACCGGAGUCGCCCUGACAGGCGUCCUUCUUCUGAUUCUUGUCCGCCGCGCACAGCUGUGAGGCGAUCACGCCUCUCCUCAACGUCCGGUUGGCACUCGGCUGCUCUGCAAAGGAUGCAUUGCACUCGUCAGCCGGCACCAGAUCCAGAGCCGCCCGCAGCAGGAUCUUUGAUACGGCGCGAUCUGCAAGGACACAAUUGGCUGACAAUCCACUGCAGUUUACGGACACACAACUUACUGGUCACAUUCAUUACACCCCAACCGGCGACGAAGUAUUUGGAGUUCGCGGGCGGAUCAGUGCGAUCCGUAUAGAGACAGGCGGGACGGAUGACAUCGGACUCCUUGGCAUCCUCGGCCAGCUGCAGGAUGGCGAUGUCGUAGUACUUGCUACUGCCGGAAUAGUUCGGAUGAAUCUGAACGUCAAUCUGGAAGUGGAAUUGAUGAGUUCAACUGGUUAUCUGGCACAUUUGACACAUGGCGAUACUAACCACAUUUAUGUCCUGGUAGCCCGGCUCAGGAUUCUCUAUGUUCAGCGCACCCAGACGAACGAAACUGGGCGUGCUAUCGUCACUAUUGACGCAGUGAGCCGCUGUGAGGACGAACCGACUGGCGAUGAGCGAUCCACCGCAUCGGAACGUCGCGCUCCCGAAGGAGUUGUACGCAAUGGCCGCCAUGUGGGGAUAGACGCCCUUGUCCACCCGUUCGCCGUCCAGGAUGUGCACCGUCAGGGGCUUUCCACCGGAUCGGAUCUUCUCGCACGCUGUCAUCAGAUCAUUGGAAAUUUAAAAUAUAUAUUCAUAUAAAUUCCGAAA